rnacentral:pre_miRNA from 1 species
AACCAGCAUAGUCAGGUGUGCACCAUGCACCUCUGGGCGAGUAUCUCUUUGAGCGCCUCACUUUCAAGCAGGAAUAGGAGG